GAUGAAGAACGCAGCGAAAUGCGAUACGUAAUGUGAAUUGCAGAAUUCAGUGAAUCAUCGAAUCUUUGAACGCAUAUUGCGCUCUCUGGUAUUCCGGAGAGCAUGCUUGUUUGAGUAUCAGUAAACACCUCAACUUCCAUAUCUUUUUUGAAAUGGGAGUUGGACUUGAGUGAUCCCAACGCUUUUCCUCACCGAAAAGUGGCGGGUUACUUGAAAUGCAGGUGCAGCUGGACUUUUCUCUGAGCUAUACGCAUAUCUAUUUAGUCUGCCUAAAAAACAGAUUAUUACCUUUGCUGCAGCUAACAUAAAGGAGAUUAGUUCUUGUGCUGACUGAUGCAGGAUUCACAAAGACGGCUUCGGCCGACUUUGUAAACUCGAUCUCAAAUCAAGUAAGACUACCCGCUGAACUUAAGCAUAUCAAUAAGCGGAGGA
rnacentral:misc_RNA from 1 species